rnacentral:rRNA from 1 species
GAUGAACGCUGGCGGCGUGCCUAAUACAUGCAAGUCGAGCGAAUGGAUUAAGAGCUUGCUCUUAUGAAGUUAGCGGCGGACGGGUGAGUAACACGUGGGUAACCUGCCCAUAAGACAGGGAUAACUCCGGGAAACCGGGGCUAAUACCGGAUAACAUUUUGAACCGCAUGGUUCGAAAUUGAAAGGCGGCUUCGGCUGUCACUUAUGGAUGGACCCGCGUCGCAUUAGCUAGUUGGUGAGGUAACGGCUCACCAAGGCAACGAUGCGUAGCCGGCCUGAGAGGGUGAUCGGCCACACUGGGACUGAGACACGGCCCAGACUCCUACGCGAGGCAGCAGUAGGGAAUCUUCCGCAAUGGACGAAAGUCUGACGGAGCAACGCCGCGUGAGUGAUGAAGGCUUUCGGGUCGUAAAACUCUGUUGUUAGGGAAGAACAAGUGCUAGUUGAAUAAGCUGGCACCUUGACGGUACCUAACCAGAAAGCCACGGCUAACUACGUGCCAGCCGCCGCAGUAA